CCUAUAUAUUUGUAUUUUCGCUAUUGCUACGCUAUUAGUGACGGUCUAAUACGGUAUUACCUCAGUAGUCAUUAAAUUUUUUGUUAGCGUUUAUGUUAAGAUAAUGAUGUCCGCUUUUCUAAAAUCCUGAGUCCGCUUAGCAGGUAUUAAAAAGGUGGUUAUUCGCCCAUUUUUUCCGUCCAUUGCGGGCCGACCCGAAUCCGCCGCUUUUUCUAUAACUCGAACAGAGGAGCAGGCAAAUUGAGUGCCACUUUAGCUGCCAGAACCAACAGAAUAGUGGAAUACUGAGUAGUAGAAAGAGGAAAAUGUGGAAAGACAGAGGACCAGGAGUGAAGAUCCUUUGGCUUUAGGCCAUUGGAACUGCCGGCAUUUUAGUAACUAGUGUUGUGAGGACCAGAAUGCGGGAUAUGGAGCAGUUCAUGAAUGCUCAGCAACAAACACCUCCACCUAUUGACAAUGAUCAAGAUCAUCAAUCAUUGAAUUCUGAGGAUUUCAUUCAGGAGGAGAAAGGGUGAAGAAUGUUUUUAUUGUAUGCUAAGUGUUUGAUGAAUUGUCUGAAUGAUGAUUUUAAUUGUUACUUUACAGAAUUCGGAAUUAUUUGACUCUUUUCAGCUGUUUCUUGGUUA